UUUAUGGAGAGUUUGAUUCUGGCUCAGGACGAACGCUGGCGGCGUGCUUAACACAUGCAAGUCGAACGGUGAAACUUGACUGAUCCCUUCGGGGUGAUGACUUGU
rnacentral:rRNA from 1 species